AUGUGUGGUGCGAGGCUGGGGAUGCUGUCUUCGCUCCCUGCCGCGCCGUCGCAUCUUCUCCUCCUCCCCGCCCUCCCGGUCCUUAGCGGGAGGAGCGCGGCUCGCCGCCGCAACUGCUCCGCGUCGCUGCUCCCUCGUCGAGCUGGCACGUCGCCGUCACCUGGAGGAGCGGCCGCUCCCUGCCGCGCCGUCGCAUGGCAGCUGCUCCGCGUCGCUGGUCCCCCAUCUAGCUCGUGUGUCCCCGUCGCCUGGAGGAGCAGAGGCUGCCGCUCCAGCAUCUUCUCGGCCCUCCUUCCCUCGUCGGCGAGCGGCUCAUGGCAACUCCAGACCGUGCUCUGUCGCCUCCAACUUUGGUCCCCGUCUCCACUUCAUUAG
rnacentral:rRNA from 1 species